rnacentral:rRNA from 1 species
UGGGGAAUUUUGGACAAUGGGCGAAAGCCUGAUCCAGCAAUGCCGCGUGUGUGAAGAAGGCCUUCGGGUUGUAAAGCACUUUUGUCCGGAAAGAAAUCCUCUGGGUUAAUACCUCGGGGGGAUGACGGUACCGGAAGAAUAAGCACCGGCUAACUACGUGCCAGCAGCCGCGGUAAUACGUAGGGUGCAAGCGUUAAUCGGAAUUACUGGGCGUAAAGCGUGCGCAGGCGGUUUUGUAAGACGGAUGUGAAAUCCCCGGGCUUAACCUGGGAACUGCAUUCGUGACUGCAAGGCUAGAGUAUGGCAGAGGGGGGUAGAAUUCCACGUGUAGCAGUGAAAUGCGUAGAGAUGUGGAGGAAUACCGAUGGCGAAGGCAGCCCCCUGGGCCAAUACUGACGCUCAUGCACGAAAGCGUGGGGGAGCAAAACAGGAUUAGAUACCCUGGUAGUCCACGCCCUAAACGAUGUCAACUAGUUGUUGGGGAUUCAUUUCCUUAGUAACGUAGCUAACGCGUGAAGUUGACCGCCUGGGGAGUACGGUCGCAAGAUUAAAACUCAAAUGAAUUGACGGGGUCAUAGCUGUUUCCU